rnacentral:rRNA from 1 species
AUGCAGUCGAGCGAACGGACGAGAAGCUUGCUUCUCUGAUGUUAGCGGCGGACGGGUGAGUAACACGUGGAUAACCUACCUAUAAGACUGGGAUAACUUCGGGAAACCGGAGCUAAUACCGGAUAAUAUUUUGAACCGCAUGGUUCAAAAGUGAAAGACGGUCUUGCUGUCACUUAUAGAUGGAUCCGCGCUGCAUUAGCUAGUUGGUAAGGUAACGGCUUACCAAGGCAACGAUGCAUAGCCGACCUGAGAGGGUGAUCGGCCACACUGGAACUGAGACACGGUCCAGACUCCUACGGGAGGCAGCAGUAGGGAAUCUUCCGCAAUGGGCGAAAGCCUGACGGAGCAACGCCGCGUGAGUGAUGAAGGUCUUCGGAUCGUAAAACUCUGUUAUUAGGGAAGAACAUAUGUGUAAGUAACUGUGCACAUCUUGACGGUACCUAAUCAGAAAGCCACGGCUAACUACGUGCCAGCAGCCGCGGUAAUACGUAGGUGGCAAGCGUUAUCCGGAAUUAUUGGGCGUAAAGCGCGCGUAGGCGGUUUUUUAAGUCUGAUGUGAAAGCCCACGGCUCAACCGUGGAGGGUCAUUGGAAACUGGAAAACUUGAGUGCAGAAGAGGAAAGUGGAAUUCCAUGUGUAGCGGUGAAAUGCGCAGAGAUAUGGAGGAACACCAGUGGCGAAGGCGACUUUCUGGUCUGUAACUGACGCUGAUGUGCGAAAGCGUGGGGAUCAAACAGGAUUAGAUACCCUGGUAGUCCACGCCGUAAACGAUGAGUGCUAAGUGUUAGGGGUUUCCGCCCCUUAGUGCUGCAGCUAACGCAUUAAGCACUCCGCCUGGGGAGUACGACCGCAAGGUUGAAACUCAAAGGAAUUGACGGGACCCGCACAAGCGGUGGAGCAUGUGGUUUAUUUCGAGCACGCGAGACCUUACCAAUCUUGACAUCCUUUGACACUCUGAGAUAGAGCCUUCCCCUUCGGGGGACAAGUGACAGUGUGCAUGAUGUCGUCAGCUCGUGUCGUGA